GAAGCAGGUGAGAUGGCCGCUCCAUUUCUGAUAAUCCCAAUUUUUCUACAAUAGAAAUGGAGAGGAAAGUCCGAGCUCCAUAGGACACGGUGCUCCGUAACACGGAGUGGGAGUGAUCCCAAGGAAAGUGCCACAGAAAAUAUACCGCCCCGCUGCUUUCUUGCACCGUAGCGGCACGCUGCGAAAGCAAGAAGCGGGGUAAGGGUGAAAAGGUGGGUCUGCCUGAGGCGGAUUAAUGUAAGAGCCCACCGCUUCCCGAGUGAUCGGGGAGGCAUGGUAAACCCCACUGGGAGAAAGGCUAAAUAGAGAGGCAUAAGUGGUCCGCUUUUUAAGCCUCCGGGUAAGCCGAUUGACCUUGAUGGCAACAUCAAGACUAGAUUAAUGGUCAUCUAAAACAGAACUCGGCUUAUUACCUGCUUCUGAU
rnacentral:RNase_P_RNA from 2 species